ACUCUUGCUCUCGACAAAACUGGGUGCCCAGCAGUGGUGCAGAUGGAGAAAAGGAUCCCACAGACUGGUCACCAUGGGGUGAAUGCAGAC